GGUUGUGGCCAAACCUUGUCAAAGCCUGAUCUCAUCAGAUCUCAGAAGCUAAACAGGGCUGGGCCUGGUUAGCACUAGAUGGAGACUGCUAUAUAUCAGGUGCUACAGCUA
rnacentral:rRNA from 1 species